rnacentral:rRNA from 1 species
GCUUGUCUCAAAGAUUAAGCCAUGCAUGUCUAAGUAUAAAUAAUUCUAUACUGUGAAACUGCGAAUGGCUCAUUAUAUCAGUUAUAGUUUAUUUGAUAGUCCCUUACUACUUGGAUAACCGUAGUAACUCUAGAGCUAAUACAUGCGCAAAUUCCCGACUGUCGCAAGGCGGAAAGGAUGUAUUUAUUAGAUGGAAACCAAUGCGGGGCAACCCGGUAUAUGGUGAUUCAUAAUAACUUUCGGAUCGAUCUUCGGAUCGAUGCAUCAUUCAAGUUUCUGCCCUAUCAGCUUUGGAUGGUAGGGUAUUGGCCUACCAUGGCUUUAACGGGUAACGGAGAAUUAGGGUUCGAUUCCGGAGAGGGAGCCUGAGAAACGGCUACCACAUCCAAGGAAGGCAG